rnacentral:rRNA from 1 species
GAUGAACGCUGGCGGCGUGCCUAAUACAUGCAAGUCGAGCGAACGGACGAGAAGCUUGCUUCUCUGAUGUUAGCGGCGGACGGGUGAGUAACACGUGGAUAACCUACCUAUAAGACUGGGAUAACUUCGGGAAACCGGAGCUAAUACCGGAUAAUAUUUUGAACCGCAUGGUUCAAAAGUGAAUGACGGUCUUGCUGUCACUAAUAGAUGGAUCCGCGCUGCAUUAGCUAGUUGGUAAGGUAACGGCUUACCAAGGCAACGAUGCAUAGCCGACCUGAGAGGGUGAUCAGCCACACUGGAACUGAGACACGGUCCAGACUCCUACGGGAGGCAGCAGUAGGGAAUCUUCCGCAAUGGGCGAAAGCCUGACGGAGCAACGCCGCGUGAGUGAUGAAGGCCUUCGGAUCGUAAAACUCUGUUAUUAGGGAAGAAAAGAUGUGUAAGUAACUGUGCACAUCUUGACGGUACCUAAUCAGAAAGCCACGGCUAACUACGUG